UACGUAGGGUGCAAGCGUUAAUCGGAAUUACUGGGCGUAAAGCGUGCGCAGGCGGUUAUGCAAGACAGAUGUGAAAUCCCCGGGCUCAACCUGGGAACUGCAUUUGUGACUGCAUGGCUAGAGUACGGUAGAGGGGGAUGGAAUUCCGCGUGUAGCAGUGAAAUGCGUAGAUAUAUGGAAGAACAUCAAUAACGGCGAAGGCAGUUAACUAUUCUGCUACUGACAUUGAGGCACGAAAGCGUGGGGAGCAAAACGG
rnacentral:rRNA from 1 species